AUGCAUCCCAGGUCACGGUGCUUAGUGUGGGCGAGGGCGAGGCUCCAGGCGCUGGGUCCCUCGGCGGGGGUCUGGAGAGCAGAACCUGCCAAGGCCGGGGUUCAGUGCGGUGAGCCGGUGGCAGCACCGGCCGCGCUCUGGGAGGCACAGCCGAGUGCCAGCGUGCGGCUGGUGGGGGACGUGCUCCAGAACCACUGGCCCACCCCAGGCCCAGCAGGACACGCUGGGAAGGUUCUGAGCAGACACGCGGGUGACACGGCCGGGGGAGGGAGCCGGCUGGCCUGGCCCAAGCGUCCGCACCAACCUUCCAGAUCAAGGUGCUGUCACCGGCUCGGGCAAGUCCUGGAGACGCCACAGGGCUUCUCGCUACAUCUCUCAGCACGAGAACGGCUGAAGGCAAGCUCCACAGGGAAGAUGAAAAAUCUUACCCAUUUGGACUGCAGACAAGACCCGCGGGGCCAAAGCAGAGGGAGACACAGAAGGCUCGAAGGGACAGCCAGCCUGCUGGAAAGGCCGCUCGCAAUGGACGCUAGUGGCUGCGCCCAGGCCUGGAUGGAAGAAGGCUCUGGCUGCCAAAUGUUGUCUCUUCUGGUUCCACGCCGUCUCUCAGGAUGAGGAGAAUCCCCUGGGCUGGGCCCCAUCCUGAGGCCUACCUCCUAGUUUGCCAGGCUGCCUCUGGCCACUUUACUGCCUCAAAACAGACACAAAAGUCCACUUUUCAAAACCAUCACUCUCACCAGGAAUGGGAAUGCCUGUGAGAAACCGAUGCGCACAUCCCAGGUUAGGGACUCGGUCUCUUCCCUCACACAUUUGCUGCCUGAGGCCACUCUUCAUUCAUCUUCACUAUUGCCGACCUUGCAGCUCUCCCAGGCCUCUCCUCCUUGCCUCGCCUUGCGCCUUGCGGUGGACCCACUGGGGAGGGGUGCAGGGGUGAGGCCCAGUCACAGCAACACCCAGGACCAAACCUCUCAGGACUUGGUGGGGAAACAAAAUUUUUAAGUUAAUUUGAUUCUGGGGAUCCCUGAGUGGCUCACAGGUUUAGCCCCUGCCUUCGGCCCAGGGCGUGAUCCUAGAGAUCUGAGAUCGAGUCCCACGUCGGGCUCCCUGCAUGGAGCCUGCUUCUCCCUCUGCCUGUGUCUCUGCCUCUUUCUCUCUCUCUCUCUCAUGAAUAAGUAAAUAAAAUCUUUUUUUUUUUUUUUUAAAAGUUAAUU
rnacentral:lncRNA from 1 species